UGGAAGGCAGUGUGCGUACUGGAAAGAGGAGAACCCGGGGCAGAAAGCGGAGGAGCAAGCACUCCAACUCGAGAACCCCGAGCGGAAAAGAAGGCUGCAAGGCCGCCAGAGAGGCAGGAGGCAAACCAGGUGGGCGCGGUUGCAUAGACGCUGAGAGGAGCGGGUUUCAAGGAGCAGGCUAUUUAUAACCUCGGUGAGAGCACUGAAGACCGAUUGCAGUGCAUUGCGCAAAUGAGAGACUUUGUCCAGAGUUCAGAGCUGCGGGCAGAGCUGCUGCAGAGGAAGCCACGGCCACGGGCAGGAAGACAGACGCUCCUGGUGCCCCCAGUGAGGCAGGCAGGAGCAGUCGUGUGUUCACUCAGCAAACGCUGAUGAAGCACUUCAAAGUGCCAAGUGUUGUGCCAGGUUCUGAGGACUCCCAGAGGAAUAAGGCCUGGGCCUUUGUGCUUGUGGGGGAGGAAGGAAAAUAAACAAGACCGUGAUGCAUCUCAGUUGGGACUAGUGACAUUUCAGGUGUUCAGUGCAAUGUGUGGCUGGUGGUUACCUCAUCCUGGGAAGGUCUUGGUAUCUUUCAAACGGCAACAAUAUAGCUGAAGCCGGAGCAACUGGCUGACAAGCGCCUUCCACAUAAAGAUACCCAUGCACCAUGCAGGAAAUGUGCGUGUGUACGGUGGGCUGAGAGAUUCUGGAACGGGAACGAACCUUGCCUAGCCUUCCUCCUUUGAUGCCUCGGCACAAUGACUCGGGAGCUCCGGUGCCAGACCUUCCAGUUAGAUAGAAAUGCAGUUGUCGCUGAUGCUGAUCUUUGCGGCUACGUUCUUAAGCCCUAAACUCCACAUUGACCGUCUCCUUUUUACUCUCCUUGGUUGCGUCCUCUCCUCGGUCCGUGGUUUGGAGGUUAGAAAGAAAGGAGGAGAGAAGUGAGAGCGGAGUCAGGAGAAGAGAUGAAGCAGUGGUUAAGGCACUAGGCCUGCGGAGCCCUCUGGAGAAAUCUGCACACAGUUAAGCCAGUAACCAGAAUUAAAUCUGACUAAGGAAAAAUCAGCACUCUACUGCUUCGUCUGCUGGCACUGACAUUAAGUAAGAGCUGGCUUGGGAGGGACUGGUUGUAAAUAAGGGGGCACUUGCUAGUCAACCCGAUUUUAUGUUUGUCAGAGUCCUUGGUUGGUCUGGAAAGAUUUCUCUUUGGCCAUAGGACUCAGACCUUUUCUUGCUUUGUGAUACUUGUCCUGCCUCCCUAAAGAGAACUCUGGCUUUUGCCCUUUUUCUCUGAAGGCACAGCCCUCUCCCUAGCGCUCUACUCGCCAACUGGGAUCAUCAUAUUUACAUUACAUUGCAUUACAAGACAUUACAUUAUAUUAUAUUACAUUAUGAAUGGGGGAGGGGCAGAGGGAGAGAAUCUCAAGCAGACUCUAUGGUGAGUGGGGAGCAGGGCUCGAUCCCACAACCCUGAGAUCAUGACCUGAGCUGAAAUCAUGAUUCGGACGCUUAACCGACUGAGCCACUCAGGUGCCCCAACCGGGAUCACUACUGUCAUCAUUGUAUCAUCAUUUUCUUUUUUCUCUUCCCACCUUCCAGAGUUAUUUGGUCAGACCUGCUAUUGUUAAAAUGUGUUCUCCCUUGUGUGUUAAAGUGGCUUCCCUGGCCCUCAGUGAGUACAGCCUGUGCUUGGCGAUCCUCUCCAUGCUGCGGGGAAGGGUCCACCUAACAUCAUCCACACCCUCUGUCCUCGUCUGUGUCCUCCCAUAGAGCAGUGUGAAAUGUAAAAUGGUGAAGAGGUGUUAGGGCUUCAGCCUGACCUAUUGAACUGAGCAACACCGGGUGAGCCAAAUGGCCAUUCAGUCCAGGCUCUUGGUCUCAUCAAUACCAUGUUCAAGCAAGCAUGCUAAGAGCCAACACGUCCAACCAGAUAAGUUGAAACACAUAUGAAACACGUAUCAGAUUCUCUUCUGAUCCACCAACACAGGGGUCUCCCAGGUCCUGAGCAUGUUCCGUCUGUACAAACAUUUGCAGCAUCAGCCCUGAGAAUGGACCUGCUGAACCAUUUGCAUUUCGUGAAGUAUUUUUAUAGAUUUUUCUUUGGGUAUGUCUUGGCAUAAAUGAAACAACAGACUUAACAUUUUAAGAGAAAUUCUCAUUCUACUGCAGUUAUUUGCAGCCUUCAUUUCUCGUCUAUAAAAAUUUAGCAGAUACGUGAAGAUCAUGGGUAGAAUGAAAUUAAGUUUUACCACCCACAAUAAUUCAUUAGCGAACUAGUGUAUUUAAUGGGUCUUUGCUUGGUGUGUCUAAAAUUAUUUCAUCAUAACAAAAGGUCUUGAAAGACUAAGAAAAAGUAUGAGGACAAUUAAGUUGCCUAUCUGAACAGUAUUACUGUAUGAAAGGAAAACAGUCUUAAAAAUAGCUCAUUGUAGAGUUGAAAGAGAUGGAGAAAUUCAUAAAGGAAGCACAAAGGUGUUGGAAAUGGAAUGAAAACCUUUUAAAAAAUACCACCAGGGCACUUGUUCUUUGCCAAAUCAGAGUCCCUGAUUUUUACAAUCUCUCAUGCUUCCAUUUCAUCUGUUGUGGGGAAGGGGUCUGUGUGUGUGUGUGUGUGUGUGUGUGAGACUUGCUUCAGAUAGAAGCCUAAGCAAACUUAUUUCCCUGCUCUAAAAGGCAACCCUUUGUCCCUCCCAAAUCUAUAGGAAAGCUUUGUAUUCUUCACAUUUGAAACCUACUAAUUAAGAAUCUGACACUGUCUAUGAAAAAAAGCCAACAGGACAGGGAGACAGGAGGGACGAUUUAACAGACUUUGCUCCGUCCUCUCAUAGCGCCCCCUACAUAACGUUGGCCUUAGGGGGGUUUUAGCAGCCACUAGUGGAGACCCUCUUUUCCAGAUAGAGACUAUGGAGCCAGGAGACGGUGGGUGAUUUGCUCCAGGCCAGGCAACCAGGGAGUGGCCCAGAAGGAGAGCGCAGCCUGGUGCCCUCCCUCACUGUAGCUCCUGGACACCCGCGUUCACUUCAGCACAAAUCCAUUUGUACAGCUAUUUGUCUUUAUUAAUGCAUCAAAUUGAAAGAAAUAACAUUCCUUCAAAAUGUCCUCUAAUGCAGAAUUUGCAGAGAGAACAUUUCAACGCGGCGUCCUUCGUGCUCCAUCCUGAGCCCAGCUGCUUGUGUUGUUAUUUUCUGGACUUCAGAAAUUUUUUAAGUGAUAAAUAAUCAUCUUGUGAAAGGUCAAGAGAAAGGAGGGCGUGAAAUCUGGAUUUCGUACGUGUUCCGCUAUGUCGUUACAGUCAUUCAGCACUUAUCUCUGUGCUUGGCAUUUGGUAUGUGGUGGGAUGGAUUAAAAAAACCAAACCAACAACAACCAAAAACCAGACCAGAAGGACCCCGUAAUCAAUUUUUAGGCUGAAGGAAACAAAACAAACAAAAAAACCCCUAGAAAUUAGAGAUCACCCAGAUGCAGAGAAGGACUAAACGGACUGGAACCAGAGGGAGGC